AGGCAAUUUUGAAUCUUCUACUGGUCUUCGUUUCGAUAAAGGAAAGCUGAUGCAACCCUGAGCGGUCGGCGCCGGCGUAUGAGGCAGCGGCUGCGUCAGCGCCGCGGGCGUACCCCGGGUCUCGCCGCUGCCGGAGCUCGGCCUCAGAGCUGCACGAGCCUCCACCGCUGCUGACGGCACCCUCACCCGGACAGGCGCACUUCGCAACAGGAGCUGAACGUCUCGAACCGCAACAGCCCGCCGUUGACCAUGACGAAGUCUCCCCGCUCGCCCCUGUUCAGCAUGGCGACGAUGAAGAAGAACCCGGCGCUGAUCCCGUUGGCCACACUCGUGGGCCUGGCCGUGCUGGGUGACUCGCUGUUCGCUCUGCGCACGCUCA